rnacentral:rRNA from 1 species
CCUACGGGUGGCUGCAGUGGGGAAUAUUGGACAAUGGGCGAAAGCCUGAUCCAGCCAUGCCGCGUGUGUGAAGAAGGCCUUCGGGUUGUAAAGCACUUUCAGUGGGGAAGAAAGCCUUGGGGCUAAUACCCUCGAGGAAGGACAUCACCCACAGAAGAAGCACCGGCUAACUCCGUGCCAGCAGCCGCGGUAAUACGGAGGGUGCGAGCGUUAAUCGGAAUUACUGGGCGUAAAGCGCGCGUAGGCGGUCUGAUAAGCCGGUUGUGAAAGCCCCGGGCUCAACCUGGGAACGGCAUCCGGAACUGUCAGGCUAGAGUGCAGGAGAGGAAGGUAGAAUUCCCGGUGUAGCGGUGAAAUGCGUAGAGAUCGGGAGGAAUACCAGUGGCGAAGGCGGCCUUCUGGACUGACACUGACGCUGAGGUGCGAAAGCGUGGGUAGCAAACAGGAUUAGAUACCCCGAGUAGUC